UCCCUGGUGGCCCAGUGGCUAAGACUCUACGCUCCCAAUGCAGAGUGCUCGGGUUCAAUUCCUGGUCGGGGAA
rnacentral:tRNA from 1 species